rnacentral:rRNA from 1 species
CAGUCGCCACGGUAAUACGUAGGUCCCGAGCGUUGUCCGGAUUUAUUGGGCGUAAAGCGAGCGCAGGCGGUUAGAUAAGUCUGAAGUUAAAGGCUGUGGCUUAACCAUAGUACGCUUUGGAAACUGUUUAACUUGAGUGCAAGAGGGGAGAGUGGAAUUCCAUGUGUAGCGGUGAAAUGCGUAGAUAUAUGGAGGAACACCGGUGGCGAAAGCGGCACUCUGGCUUGUAACUGACGCUGAGGCUCGAAAGCGUGGGGCGCAAACAGGAUUAGAUACCCCGGUAGUCCCUGUCUCUUAUACC